UUUCUUCAUAUUUUCUCAGCAAAAACGCCAUAGAAGGUCUGGAGAAAGCUGGUUUUUCAUAUUUUUACAUCAUAUCAAGAAUCCAAAGAAGAACGAGGAAAAGAAAAAGUUGCGGAAUAGUCCCUAAAUUUCAAUAUCUUCUACAAAUUAGCCGGAUUGACUUGAAGUGAAGUGGGU